UGGAAUAACCUGGAAAUUCCUGCCUCUGAU
rnacentral:piRNA from 1 species